rnacentral:lncRNA from 1 species
GCAGGCCUCUGGCUGCUUUUCCAGCCUUAACUCUGGAAGAGGGUGUAUAUGACGGGGAAGUGUGCUGGGGAGAUGAUAUUUCCCAUAGGAUAGGUUAGGUAACAUUAUGCAGAGAAGCUGGUAGUGGUAAGCCGGAAGGCCAGGACAGCACCAGACCACGCUGUUAAGGACAGGUGCAGCUCGUUCCGCAGGUACAGCUUGUUAGGCAGUAGAUCUCUAGGGCAAUACCAAUGGCUGCCAUUUACGAGUGCUUAGUGUGCAGCGUGCACUGUGCUGAAGGCUCUCAAGCACUUCUCAGUGAAUCUUCACAAUAGCACCCUGAAGCAGAAUAUGCAUUAUUCUCUUUCUGCAGGUUACAUGUGGAGAUAACAAUUAGGCUCUUGCUGGCUGCAAAGGUUGAGCAACAACGAGGAUGAGACAGGAGAUGCUGGCACAGAGCUCUUUACCUACGGACACUAGCCAUUGCUCUCACCUUCCUCCCAAGGCCUGAAAAACACAAAACGACUCUUCUUGGCCUCAGCUUUCUGGAAAUGUGUCUGCAGGAAGCCAGUGCCUAAAAUAUUGUGUCAAAAAUGCUCAUAUGUGUUCAUUCACAUGAAGACAACCACUAAAGUGCUCCUGGGACACAUUAACAUCCAUGAGAGGAAUUCUUCUGCUGAAAAUACACCAUCUAGUGGUGCCACCUGCUCGGCUUCUGAAAAAUCUGUCUCUUGACAAUCUAUUCCAGUUCCAGCCUCUUAACCAACCAGAAGUGUCUAAAUAAGAUGGAAAACUAGGCCAGGCACAGUGGCUCACGCCUGUAAUUCCAGCACUUUGGGAGGCCCAGGUGGGUGGAUCACUUGAGGUCAGGAGUUCGAGACCAGCCUGGCCAACCAUGGCGAGACCCCCAUCUCUACUAAAAAUAUAAAAAGUAGCCGUGCUUUGGUGGCACAUGCCUGUAAUACCGGCUACUCGGGAGGUUGAGGCAGGAGAAUCUCUUGAAUCUGGGAGGUGAAGGUUGCAGUGAGCUGAGAUCACAUCACUGCACUCCAGCCUGGGCAACAGAAUUAGACCCUGUCUCAAAAACAAACAAAAAAGAUGGGGAAAAAAAAAACUCACCAUUACCAUUAUCUGAACCUGGCUUAGGUGAGAAUGUUAGUAACCAUAGUGACCAUAAAACUGCCAAUGCCUCCAUUUAAAAUGUUUAAACCUCUCUGCCCUCACACAUUGUGGUGUGCCCACCUGGGGUGAGUCAUUGAAGGAAGAGGAUUUAUUUAGCCCAUUAUCUCAGCAUGCCAGUUGAGUGGCAUGGCCUCGUGAGCCAGCUAUCUUCCUCUGCAGGCUGGGGCCCUCAGACAGCUCUCUGCACUAAUUUUCAGAGCCAAUCAGAAGGGAUCCGUGUGGCCAUUUGAGCCUGUUCCUAAAGCCCAAAGAGGGCUUUACCAGUGGACAUUUGGUGAUCUCACUGUACUAAAUGCUACCUGUGACCCUGCAUGGAGGGUGUUUCUUUUAUCUUUCAAAUAAUUAGUUUGUACAGAUAAAGCCUAAAGAAAUAUCUGGCUUUUGGCCGUUUUUGUUUUCUUGUAUCUUUUUUUUUUCUUUUUUCUUUUUCUCUUUUGGCUCGGGCCAUCAAAAGCCCACAAAGGUUUGGUCCUUCUGUGCAUCUCCAUGAGGGUUUAUCAACCUGAUCCCAUUCACUAUGGUUCCCACUCACAGAUGGUUUUCACAAUUCUUAUUUGCAUAACAGUACCAGCUCUUUUAGGGUCCAAGGCAUUGGAUGAACCUUUAGUUGCUUCUCUUCCUACAGUGUUCCUUUAAGAUUUUAAAGGUCAAGAUGACUGAUUAUAAUCCAAACAUGUUUCCUUACUUUGCCUUGAGGCUAAUUCUGUUUCUUGAAGCUAGGUGAGUAUGAAGCAGCUGGUUCACAAAUGAACCCUUGAAUUCCAAAGCCUACAGCAGCCCCUAAAAAUGCAGAUCUCAGACCACACUGCUGGCAGCUGCUGUGCUCAAGUUGAAGACUAAAGAUGCUGUAUUAGUUUCCUAAGGCUGCUGUAACAAAUUACCACAAACGUGGUGACUUAAAACAACAGAAAUUUAUUCUCUCACGGUUCUGGAGGCCAGAAGUUCAAAAUACAGCUGGGACCAAAGGCAUCUCUAAGGAAGGAUACAGUCCUUGCCUCUUCCAGGGUUCUGUGCCUCCUGUUGGAAUGAGCUCACUAACCAGUGGAAACAAACUGUUUAUCCUUCUAUGAUGUUGCAACUGCCUGGGCUUUCUAAUGCGUCUUCAGAUUUCGGUUUGUACUCAGAACAAGUGAGAAAAGUUUUACAGCAACUCCACGAAACAAAGCAGACAGGCUCUCCUGAAGCCAAGGAGUUAUGAAAAAGGCAGGCAUCGCGCAUUGAAUCAAGUAUGCCAUUACCCUCACUCCCAUGAACCUGUCUUUCAGCACAAUCCAUGACAGCAAGAAGACAAAGGCUUUGUUACAACAGAACAGAGCGGAGACAUCCGUGGCCGUCAGCUUCUUUAAAGCCAGUAAAUAAAGGAAAGAAAAGAGAAGUUAAUAUCCAGGUACUGAUGGUGACACCUCUUGUCUUAUCUGACUCAUCGCAGCCAUUUUCAGUUCCAACCCAAGAUGAUGAUACUGACAAGAUGAUCAAGAGUCCCCAGAUGCCCUUCAGAACCAUGGACGUGCAGGACAGGCAGCGAGCCUUGAUUCUGUUUUCUUGGCUGCUGUUCUCAGAAUGAGUCUGUGUCCCAUCGUCUGCUGGAAACAGGAAAGGAAUACAAAUGUGAGGAAAGCAGGUUAUGAAACAGCAAUCAAAUAUAUCAGCUCCUUAAAAAAGAUGGAUGAAACCAAAGAGGCAGACAGUAGAAUUACCAGUGUUUUUCUUUUCUACCAUCAUUUGAAGAGACUGAUAACUUCGGCUCACUUUUUCUCUGGACUCUGUGCUCUGCACAAUACAGUAAGCAUCUGAGUCCCGAUCCAGUCCAUGAGGUUGCUCAUGCGGAUGUUAUGCUGUUUUCCAGUGUGCCCUUCCCUUGUAAGAGCAUUACACAUCCCAGCCCCCAAAGACUGGUCUUGGCCACAUGCCCUGCGCUUUCUAUUGAAUGUGAGAAGACAUGAGGCAUAACACCUCCCAUAAGAAGCCUUAGGAGGCAUCCCAAGGUCCUACCAGCUCUCUUGCUCUUCCCCUCUGUCAUUUCAAAGUAGAACGCCAAAUAGAAGGUGUUCUUUCUGUGUGGGAACAUGAGCAGAACCCAGCCAAAGCUGCUCUGUAUGCACCAACAUGAAAAGCGAGUGAGAAAUAAAUAUUCGUUUCCAUUUUCCUUUUUUUUUUUUUUUUACGUUAUAGCAAAUGGCCUGGUGCUGUGACUCAGGCCUGUCAUCUCAGCACUCUGGGAGGCCAAGGUGGGAGGAUCACUUGAAUUCAGGAGUUCAAGACCAGCUUGGCCAAGAAAGA